rnacentral:rRNA from 1 species
ACGUUCAUCCCUUGACGGUAUCUAACCAGAAAGCCACGGCUAACUACGUGCCAGCAGCCGCGGUAAUACGUAGGUGGCAAGCGUUAUCCGGAUUUAUUGGGCGUAAAGCGAGCGCAGACGGUUUAUUACGUCUGAUGUGAAAGCCCGGAGCUCAACUCCGGAAUGGCAUUGGAAACUGGUUAACUUGAGUGCAGUAGAGGUAAGUGGAACUCCAUGUGUAGCGGUGGAAUGCGUAGAUAUAUGGAAGAACACCAGUGGCGAAGGCGGCUUACUGGACUGCAACUGACGUUGAGGCUCGAAAGUGUGGGUAGCAAACAGGAUUAGAUACCCUGGUAGUCCACACCGUAAACGAUGAACACUAGGUGUUAGGAGGUUUCCGCCUCUUAGUGCCGAAGCUAACGCAUUAAGUGUUCCGCCUGGGGAGUACGACCGCAAGGUUG